UACAGAGGGUGCAAGCGUUAAUCGGACUUACUGGGCGUAAAGGGUGCGUAGGUGGCCAUUUAAGUGAGAUGUGAAAGCCCCGGGCUCAACCUGGGAAUGGCAUUUCAUACUGGAUGGCUAGAGUAUGUCAGAGGAAAGUGGAAUUUCCGGUGUAGCGGUGAAAUGCGUAGAUAUCGGAAAGAACAUCAGUGGCGAAGGCGGCUUUCUGGGAUAAUACUGACACUGAGGCACGAAAGCGUGGGUAGCAAACAGG
rnacentral:rRNA from 1 species